rnacentral:misc_RNA from 1 species
UUUGAACAGCUUUCAGCUAAUGACCGGCGGGGCCCUCCCCCAGCAUCCACAUCAUCAAUUGAUGCAAUGCCUACCAUUAAGAUUACCCAGAGGCAUCUUCGUUCUGAUUCACACUGUCCAGUUUGCAAAGAUAAAUUUGAGUUGGGAAGUGAAGCGAGGCAGAUGCCAUGUGACCACAUAUACCAUUCAGAUUGCAUAGUCCCAUGGCUAGUUCAGCAUAAUUCAUGCCCUGUUUGUCGUCAGGAGCUACC